rnacentral:sRNA from 1 species
CUGAUGGCUUUGGAGACUGAAGUCCGCUGCUUAGCCACAGAACAGUUACAGCCACGGCAGCAACAGUGUAAGCUUCCUAAGUGACUGAGUGAGGGCAAGUCAUCACUGAGCAUUUCUAAAGAUCGUGGGGGUGUCCUCAUAGACUCAUAGACUCUAGGACUGGAAGGGACCUUGAGAGGUCAUCGAGUCCAGUCCCCU